GAUCCGUGGCUCAGAUUGAACGCUGGCGGCAUGCUUUACACAUGCAAGUCGAACGGGGUUGGGAGCUUGCUUCCAAUCUAGUGGCGAACGGGUGAGUAAUACAUCGGAACGUACCGUGUAGUGGGGGAUAACGUAGCGAAAGUUACGCUAAUACCGCAUACGAUCCACGGAUGAAAGCAGGGGACCUUCGGGCCUUGUGCUAUACGAGCGGCCGAUGUCUGAUUAGCUAGUUGGUGAGGUAAAGGCUCACCAAGGCGACGAUCAGUAGCGGGUCUGAGAGGAUGAUCCGCCACACUGGGACUGAGACACGGCCCAGACUCCUACGGGAGGCAGCAGUGGGGAAUUUUGGACAAUGGGCGCAAGCCUGAUCCAGCCAUGCCGCGUGUCUGAAGAAGGCCUUCGGGUUGUAAAGGACUUUUGUCAGGGAGCAAAACUUACUGGUUAAUACCUGGUGAGGUUGAGAGUACCUGAAGAAUAAGCACCGGCUAACUACGUGCCAGCAGCC
rnacentral:rRNA from 1 species